CAGGUGUAUUAAUAUACAUUUGGUCCUAACCCUGGUCUCAUUUACUAUCAUUUAUCAGUGUUCUGUCAACCGUUGGCCAUCCCCACCUCGCCGCCGUCCAUCUUCCAUUGGCCACCGUCGAUUGUUCAUCCCUCUCUAGUUCACGAUUGUCCAACCUGCCUACAUCUGAUCCAAGAAUCUGAAACCCAAGUUUCCCAUUAUUUAUUUUCUCUGCAACAAAAUCCCCCCUAUUAUCUUUCAGUUCUAGGGUUUUAAUCUGUUUUACCGCUAUGCAUAUGUUUAUAGCUUUCAUUAUCUGAUAUUAUUAUUAUUAUUAUUGUUUUGUUGUGAUUGGGUUUUCUUUUUGAUCCAUUUGAUUGCUAGCAAGACAUAUACGAAUACAUAAAAAUUAGAUUUCUUACCUUUUGGAUUAUUUGUUUUAUUUUAGUUGUGCCUGAAACCUUCCUGAUUGAUACUAUUAUCUGAUCUUAUGCUUUGAUAUGCUUAUUUCUGUAUAAUAACUGUUAGUGUCAGUGAAAACUGAAAUUAGUGACAUUUCCGUAAUGAAAUAUAAUGCCUUUUUUACAACCCUAUUAAGACCGGUGAAUGAUCCUCCCAUGUACUUGAAUUCUUGAGGUUAGAGCAAUUUCAUUGUUUAAUCUAGAAGCGAACCUAAUAAGUUUUUAAAAUUGCAUGAAUGAGGUGAUUGAUGCUAGAAAUAAUCUUAGGUAGGUAGGAUGCUCCUUGAGUCUCACCUUUGACAUAGACGUUAAGUGAAAUGAACCACAAUAAUUAAAUCAUGCAAACUUAUAAAAUGUAGUUCGAUGCAUGCUCAUUUCCUACGAGUAGUUUUAUAUUACUCACCCCUACGAUACUGGGGCAUAUUUCAGGUACAAAAAUCAAAGUUGAGGUCUUCAUUAUGCUUGGAUGGUUUGUGGACUUGGAGACUUCCAUUUUUGUGAAGGUUGGCUUGGAAUGCCAAUUAUAGUCUUAUAUGUCAACAUGUGUACAUUUGAUUCCUUAUAUGUAAUGUGUAUAUGAGUACACUCUUUAUAAUGUAUUUGACAUGUAUGUCCAGCAACAGGGAAUACUCCAACCUCAGAGAAGAUUACUUCGGAACUCCCCCUUCAGACCCAGGUGGUUCUUGGUCAGGGUUCUACCUCGAGUUAUCCAGUUCGAAGCAACGAUUGGAUCCCCAGUCACAGUUCCACAUUGACACCAUUUAGGAGGGAUUUUACAGGAGCGGAUAUUUUGAUUCCAGCAAUCAGAGUUAUUCCUAUCUCAGAGAAGAUUACUUCAGAAAUCCGUUCCUGUAAAAUCCUUCCUACAUGGUGUCAAUCUUCAGGAAGCUUAUACUAAUCCAUCUUCAGGAAGCUCAAACUAAUUGUUUGAAACUGUUGAACUGCAUGGUUAAUUGGCAACUCACUUUUUUCGGUUCAUCUGAUGUUGAUGUACCAUCGUUCUGUGCUUAUGGAUGCUCAUUACAGCUGACUCUUUCAACUGCCCGACACAUAAUUCACCUGUGCCGUCUAGACACCUAACUCAACAUUCAAAGGCGGUUCUUGGUCGGGGUUUUAACUCGAGAUAUCCAGUUUGAAGCAACAGAUGGAUCCCUAGUCACUGUUCCACAUUGACACCAUCUAGUAGGGAAUCGACAGGAACAGAUAUUUCAAUUGCAGCAACUGGAGAUAUCAUCUCAGAGAAGAUUACUUCAGAAAUCCCCAUUCAGAUUCAGGUCUCUAAUUUCCAGCUGCCUCCUUGAUGUACCCAAGUCAACACGAAAAGAUGACUCCCAAUCAUACUGGCACCCCGAGGUUGGCAAAAGGGGGGCAAUAAAACAGACAACUCUAAAACAAAUACAAAAAAUGAUGAAGUGAUGUCCCCUCAAACUCAGGCCCAACUAGUUGCUACUCUCUCUGCACCCCAUUAGGUUGUAUCUGACAACCAUCUGUCAAUAAGGGAGGCUAAUGAAGCCUCAAAUAUUGUUGGGAGCACACUAAAAGGAAGUGCCAACAACGGCAACGAAAGGGAAGAGCAUGAAAGUACCAGAGGGAUCACCAAUCACUCUUACAUUUUGACACCAUCAAAGAUGGAUUUUGCAGAAAUGGAUAUUUUGAGUCCAGCAACACGGGAUAUUCCAACCUCAGAGAAGAUUACUUCAGAACUACCCCUUCAGACUCAGGUGUCUAAUUCUCCAGCUGCUUCCUUGAUGUACCCAAGUCAACAUGAAAAGAUGAUUCCCAGUCAUACUGGCAGCCCCAAGUUGGCAAAAGACGGGAAAAGCAAUUCAGCAAUGGUAACCAAAGGGAAGAGAAUCUAG